CUGGUAGUCGAAGCAUGGAAAACUAAGACCGAAUGAACGGGUGCUUCGUAAACCAUGGUAGUAGAAGCGCCUAACACAAAACAAAAAUAACAAUAAUAUUCAUACCCUCAUGUAACCAAAAUACGCUGACCAAUCUCCAGUAAUUGCCGAUGCGUUUCCUAUGUACAGUAAAGAACAGAAUUACCUGGAUACUUUUUUAGCACUAUCUGGCAUCCACUUAAGGGUCAUGUAGGAGGGAGGGAGGGUGAGGGAGAGAGGGAGAAAAUAAUAUUCAAACCUUUUAUAAUGAAAUUCUUAUCAUUUAUAUAUUUGCUCAAAAAAAGUUUCUUGCCGGAGAGGGUCGAUGAGUCUCCAAAUGAACACUGUGACUCCUGUUGUCUCGGUAGGGUUGUCAAAAUCCUUCGUCCGUUGUGUCAUAUUGUCUCACACAAAAUUGUAGAGAUACUUUUUGGAGCUAAUUACGUGGGUUCUUUACAUAGUGUUCAUUUUGACGUAAUUUAUAAUGAAUAUGUGCGUCAAUCACACAUACGAACCACAAGUAUCAUGAAAGGUAUUGGCAAGUGUCUAAGUACUUUUGAUCACAGUUGUACGUCACGGUAACUCGCUAAAGUCGACCACGGUAACUCGCUAAAGUCGGCCACGGUAACUCGCUAUAGUCGACCACGGUAACUCGCUAUAGUCGACCACGGUAACUCGCUAUAGUCGACCACGGUAACUCGCUAAAGUCGGCUAUGGCAACGGACUUUAUUCGAUCACGGUCAUAUAAGAAGCACACUACGAUCCUGAGUUGAUUGUUUCAGAUCUGUGUUAGGGCAGAUUCAAACUAUUGAUAUUGGUGUUAUAACUCGUAAGGUACAGCAGAGUCAGAUCACUAAUACAGCAGAGUCAGAUCACUAAUACAGCAGAGUCAGAUCACUAAUACAGCAGAGUCAGAUCACUAAUACAGCAGAGUCAGAUCACUAAUACAGCAGAGUCAGAUCACUAAUACAGCAGAGUCAGAUCACUAAUACAGCAGAGUCAGAUCACUAAUACAGCAGAGUCAGAUCACUAAUACAGCAGAGUCAGAUCACUAAUACAGCAGAGUCAGAUCACUAAUACAGCAGAGUCAGAUCACUAAUACAGCAGAGUCAGAUCACUAAUACAGCAGAGUCAGAUCACUAAUACAGCAGAGUCAGAUCACUAAUACAGCAGAGUCAGAUCACUAAUACAGCAGAGUCAGAUCACUAAUACAGCAGAGUCAGAUCACUAAUACAGCAGAGUCAGAUCACUAAUACAGCCGAGUCAGGUCACUAAUACAGCAGAGUCAGAUCAUGGAGUAACAAGCUUGGCAGCAGGCCUUCCUUCCCAUCAUCACGGGCGUAGACAAACACACGCUAACAGUAGAGCAAAGAUGGUGUUGUGUGUAUGUGUGUGUGCGUGUUAUGUGUGUGUGUGUGUUUAUAAUGCCCACACAUUAUUCUAAUCCUUACAUAUAUAUAUAUAUAUUCUCUUGAUAUACACUGAUUCUAUAUUAUUUUUCUAUAUAUUGGAGAGGCUCAUAUCUCAAUCAUAUAUAAACUGGGAUGUGAUUUUAAAAGAUGUAUUAAUUAAUUUAUUAACAGAUGGUUAAAAUUGGUAAGCUAUAUACAAUGUGGUCAUUUUUUUAAUAGUUUUAGUUUUUUUUCACUUGAAUAUAAUUUUUGGAUAUAUAAAUUUUGAGUAUAAAUUAAAUAAAUUUGAAAUAUAUAAAAUUAAGUAUAUUUGAAUUAAUUUCAGUCAGAUUUUAAAUUUUAAAUCAAUAUAUUUUUUUUAAUAAACAUAAAUUGUUGACGUCAGUAUAAUUGUCUUACCAUUUAUGUAAUUGUUAUUUUAUUUCCAACAUUUCAGUGAUUUUUUUGAUAAUUUUACGAGUUUGCGGUCAGUAAUAGAGUUCCUGAGUGUUUGUGACGACAAGUCUAUUUCCCAUAAUGCUUUUUGUUAUUUAUCUUUAUUUAGUCUUUAAUAAUUAUCACUGAAUGGGCGUAAGUUACUGUGGUGGAGCCUACUCAGCCACACCACGCCUUUUGGUAUAGUAUUAUCCACACACACACACACACACACACACACACACUGUUACCUCCCAGAUGCACAACUCAAAAUGUUUUAUGUGGCAACUGUGAUUCUUUCUCCCUUUCUUUAUCUGUCUCUCUCUCUCUCUCUCUUUUACCACAGCUGAUCUUACACUCUUGAACCACCUUGAAGAUGAAUUUAUGGAGAUUCAUUCAUAAACUUAAAGAUUUAUUCAUAAAUUUAGGAUAUUAAUUUGUGAGCUUUCUCUUAGUUGUGGAAUUCAUAUACCAAUGUUUUUUUUUCUUUUAUUCAAUUUGAUGGUAGUGAAAGUUAUCCAUGACACACACACACACACACACACACACACACACACACACACACACAUAAGUAGGAACAUACACUUAUCAAGGUAGGUGGUCUCAGGAGAUGGAAAGAUCAGCUGAUUUACCAAAACAAAAAACAUAACACAAUUCCUAGAUGAAAAAAACAAAAGUAAAUUGAAAGUUGAAUCAAUAAUUACUUUCUCUUUCUCUCUCUUUUUAACUUUCUAUUUAUUAACGAUGAAUAAUUAAUCUACCACCGCCAUCAAGUGCUCAUAAAUCUAAUUGUAUAAUAAGAUACAUAAAAAUACAUUUAUUCAAGAAGUAAGAAUAUAAGACGGUGUGUUAAAUGAGGCCCCAGUUCGGUGUGUCGUUUGUGUCUCUAGUGCUCAUUAUUCUCAGCAAGUACUCUUCUUUUCUCAGCACCUACCUUGUCUCAGCACCUUCUUCCUAGUACCCGUCUUCCUCUCAGCAUUAUCCUCCUUCCUAGUACCUUCAUCAUCCCAGCACUUUCCUCCCAGCACCCCCCUCCUCCCUCUCUCAUCACCACCUCCCAGCGCCCGUUUCUCAAUCACCCAACCCUGAGUAUUACAUAACAAGUAAUCCCCCUUAACUUACAUAAAUCCCCAAACAGAUUACUUUUAUACCACUUGAUUUCAGUGGAUUACUAUCAUUGCACACUGAGCAUUUACCAAACACACAUACAACCAAUUUCUCGUCUUUAUUUUCCACUCAGCUGAGAAUCAUUUGAUAGACACGGUUAAGAAUGUAUAACAACCUCUAUUGACGAGUCCAAUUAUCUGAGUACUGUUAUAGAGUCCAAUUAUCUGAGUACUAUUAUAGAGAUUAUAGUAGGCUUCAGGUAGUGUGGUCAUCAGUAUUAUAUCUGUUUAUAUAUUACCACGGCAUCAAGAGUCGUAUGAUUUAUUUUUUUUUUAGUUUAGUUAACCAUCAUAAUUUUAUUCAAGGUAAAAAAACUGGAGUUACUAAAUUCUUCAGAUUGAUUUAAGAAUUUUUUUUUAUUGUUUUUGUAAUGGAGAGACCAUUUACCUGGAGCCUAUGGUACUUCUGAAUUCAUGGUACCAUUUCCCCGGGUACCAUACCAUGAUCGGGUAUUUUUGUGCAGGAACUCUUGUAAAAGGUCCAUAACAGUGUGUAUGUUGCUCCUCUCGGCUGCUGUUAUCUGUAGACGAGAGAGAAGCUAAAUAACUCCUUCAGUGACUUCUUCAGGUCCCUGUUCAGGUGUUCUUGUUCAAGUACCUGUGUUCAGGUCCCUUGUUCAGGCCUGCCUGUUCAGGUAUCUCAAUUCAGGUUAUCUUGUUCAGGUACUACUGGUCAGGUUCAGGUACCUUGUUCAAUUUAUCUCUCUGUAGACUGUCCUUGUACAGGUACACUUGUUCAUUUGGCUUUUGACUGAUUGUCUUUGUACAUGAACAUCUACAGGUAUGUGUGUUCAGUCCAAAUGUCUUUGUUUAUUGCAUUUGUACAUGAACACUAUUAUUAUGUUCAGUACAAUGGUCUUUCUUCACCGUAUUUGUACAUGAACAUCUCUAUAUGUUCAGUCCAGGUGCUAUUGUUCAUAUGUCUUGUUCAAGUGAACCUGUUGAGGUGUGUGGGAGCAGAUGACUUUGCUCAGGUACUAACAACCAAAUGUCCAUGAUUAUUAUUAUACUUUUUUUUUGCUCUUUUUGUUCAAAUUCAGUGUUCAGGCUCCCUUGUUCAAGUGUUCCUGUUCAUUUCCAGUUGUUCAGGUGCCGGGUGGUGGGCGGGGCAUACUAUUGGUGGCACAAACAUUAUUUAAAAUAUAUUUAUAAAAUCUUGUCGCCCUGAGCCAAAGCUUUGAACACAUGUGAAAGAAUAUCACUGUGUGUGUGUGUGUUAAGAGGUGAGGACUAUUCUAACACUGGUGGUAUAGUUCAUCCCAAGUGUUCAACGCCUGGUGAACAGUAUUUCUAGAUAUUUUCAAUUUAUCGUACCAGUGCACACACGCAUACACGUUGGAGGAUGUUUUGAACAUGUGUUAAUGCUUUGAACAUGGGCUAAAGUUUUGAAAAUAUGCUAGAGCUUUGAACAUGGGCUAUAGCUUUGAACAUGGGCUAAAGCUUUGAAUAUGUGUUGAAGCUUUGAACAUGGGCUAAAGCUUUAAACAUUGCUAAAUUUUUUGAUAUCUUGUUUUAGCUUUGAACAUAGGUUAAAGCUUUGAACAUGGGCUAAAGCUUUUAACAUGGACUGUAGCUUUGAACAUAUGCCAGGGUUUUGAAUAUAUGGCAAAGCUUUGAACAUGGGAUAAAAGCUUUGAACAUGUAUCUAUGCUUUAAAAAUGUACUAAUGCUUUGAACACGUAAUUAAUCUCAGAACAUGUACUAAAAUUUUUGAACAAUAUUCCUCAAUACAACAAAAACAAGUUCAAAACAUGUUCUAAAGGUUUAAGACGUGUACCUAAGCUUUGAACAUGAUAAAAAAAAGUUUGAAUAUGUUCAUUCCCCUUUGAACAUGUAUUCAUAGCUGAAGAAAUGGAGAGAUGAUGACUUAAGAAUAUACACAAUGACACACACACACACACACACACACACACACACACACACACACACACACACACACAUACAAACAUUAUUCAGUGUUCAAUUGUUCAAUGUAAUGAUGAACAACUACCUAUAACAAUGUACAACUAGAGAGAUUAAUUAUUCAUCACUGUACACUUGAUAAAAGAUACACACACACACACACACACACACACACAGACACACACACCACCCUUAGCCUUGUACAAAUCAGUCAUUGUUUUUUUUUGUUUUUUGUUUGUUUCUUUGUCACUCUGUAUUCACUCCGUCAUCAUCUCACCAUUUCUUACAGCCGGAUGUACACACCCCCCCCUCCCCUCCUAGUGUUAUUUUCAGGUAUGAUUCUGUUACUACAUUUGUAUAAUACCAAGCCCAGUUGAUCAGUGUCACGUGCGAAUUGUAAGUACACUCAAAUUGUUAUUUCAUUGCCUUACCUUCCCUCCACUUCCCUCCACUCCCCUCCACUUCCCUCCAUUCCCUCCCUAUCCCCAUUCAUCUCUUGAUAUCUCCUAAGCAUUAAUUGGGAAGAUGGUGUUUAACCCUAUGGUAGAAUAAGGGUGGAAAUCCCAUUAGUUUUGCAGUCACUCAAGAUUUAAGAGGUUAGGUUAUUAUGAGUCCAUCUUACCCUCGAAAAAUUAAGAUAUUGGUCAUUUUCUUGUUUUUUUAUUUUAUUUAUUUAUUUUUUUUGGUUCAGUUUUGACUUUGAAUUUAAGAUUUUUCCCUAAAUUAUAGUUCAAUAUUUUUUAUUCUUAAUAUUAACACAUCCACCCCAGUAUACCCUCCCCUCCUCUCUCCUCCCCUCCCCAUCUCCCCUCUUCUCCCCUCACGUGCCCCUGCCUCACCCCCGCUGUGCCAGUCCCCCCCUGCAGUCUUGCCUAGGACCAUGUAGGGGGUGACUCUGCCAAAUACACCAAUCAAAAAAUAUAAAAAAAUCUUUAAAAAGUACUAAAUGCGAUUAAUAUAGGAGUGUCUGGUAAUGCCACCUGCUGCCUAGCCUACUCCCUCCCUCCAGGUGCGGUGGGUGAGGGGUGGGGGAGGCAACAGGUGUUUUGUAAAUAGGGAAUUAAAAAAACAACAACAACCACCACCACCAAGAUAAUGUCCAAUUGUAGCUGUAUUGAGUAAAUCAUAAACCUGUAUAUAUCUUGUGCCUUGAUGAUCAAUACACCAACUGCUAUAUGUAUGUACGAUAAGAAGAUAAUAAAACAAUAUUGCGUUUAUCAGUCUAUCCUUAACAUCCGAACACGAUUUAAUUUUUUUUCUCAAUAAAAUAUAAAAAAAAACAAAAAAAAUAACAAUUUGAUAAUAAAAAACUACACUUAAACAUUUUAGAAAAUUUAUAUAAUAAGAAAUAUUUUAAAAUAUAUAUUUACUGCAUAUACUACAUUCAUAAUGGCAUGCAAGACUUGAAUGAAUGAAGGUUAAAAAAAAUAAUAAUAAAUAUUAAUAAUAAAAAAAAAUCCUCAAGGGACUUAAAUAAGGCUACUUCUUAAUAAGAGCCUCCUGAUGAAUGGGUCAGUUGAAUGAGUCAGUUGCUCCUUACAGUCCAACCCCGUCUAAUCCGACCUAGUUACUUUUUUUCACAAUUUUUUUUUAAUUAAUUUCACAUUAGUCCAGAUCCCAUAGUCCUAUCAGUUUUUCUUUCUCUCUUUAUCACAACAUUAACAACAUUAUAAUAAAAAUAAAUAUAUAUAAAUAAUAAUGAUAACAAACAAAACAUCGUGGUCGGAUUAAUUAAGGUUAGACUGUAUUAAUAUGUAUGGCUGUAUGUCUCUCUGUCUCUCUCUCUCUCUCUCUCUGUAUCUCUCUAAUUAUCUCUCUCUCCCAGGUGUUCGUUUUACGUUCAGUUCAUUUAAUGUGAAAAACAACACUUGGUUAUUUUUAUGUUUCUGUUAAGUUCGUUUAGCUGAAGUGUAUAGAUACUUUUUUUGGUCUGUGACGUUCAGCGAUAACUUCUAAAUAUUUCGCUUAUUUUUGUCUGUUUUUUGGGGGGGGGGGUUAUGCUCAGUUGCUACAACAUACAGACACACACAGACACUUUUCAUCAGCUUGUGUAUGUGCACCGCUUACAGACAGCCACCAACACAGACAGACAGACAAACCGUUAAUCCACCUAUCUCUUGUGUUGAUGUUGGCAUAAUUUGGGUGGGGGGUUGGGGGGGGAGAAAAUUCAUAUGUAAAAAUCAUCACAAAAUUUGAACAAAAAUCGAGUUUAAACAUUGAUAAAACUAGGUUGUACUACAUUACACUGAGGGAGUCAAAUUAAAAUCCUGAAACAUGAUACGAAAUCCAGGAAUAUAAGAAGCACGCACUCUUAUUCCUACACAAACGCACUCUUCAUUAUUUUACAAGUGCACUCUUUCACUCUUAGACACUCGAUAUCUAAGAGCACAGAACAUACUCUCUAAUCCUCCACAAACGUAUUCUUGUCGACAUAGAGAAUUAGAUUAUUUUUAAGUUAAUAAAUUUGCAUCUUUGGCUCUUGAUAAUUCAUAAUGUUAGAUCACGUUAGGUGUUUGUUGAUUGGGAUGAUUAUGGCGGUAGAAUUAGGUAGAGACUAUACAGAAUAUGGAUUUAAUGUAGGAAUAGUGUUUAGUAGACCAUUGAGUGGCCCCCUUCUUGAUGUAGAUGAAGGUGCUAGUCUCUCUCUCUCUCUCUCUCUCUCUCUCUCUCUCUCUCUCUCUCUCUGUUUAUCACAUCUCCAAGUCUUUUGUUUACCAGCAAACUUAAUUUUUAUACUUAUGUUUAUUUAUAGAGUACACACACAUACACACACACACACACACACACACGUAUUCAUUAAUGCAUGGGUAUAUAAUGUGCGUGUCUGUGUGCAUCUAUACGUCCAUAUAAAUGUGUAUAUAUGUGUGUGUACAUUUGUAUAUACAGUAUAGAUAUAAUGUGUACAGUCACGACCAAAAGUCCUCCAACACGUUGCUAUAUCUGCCCUCAACUUGUGAAUUGACUUGUAAAUGGUGGAUGGAGUUUCAAGCUUAUUUAUCUUCUUCUCUCUGUCUAUAUUCCUCCAUCUAAUCAUUUUUCUAUCCUUCUAUCUCUCUAUACCUUUCUUUAUUGCCCUUUAUUGUAUGCCUUCUUUAGCGUCAUGUUGUGGCAUUUACCUUCUCUCAUUACCGUUGAUUACAGGUAAGACAUGAGCACUUUACUGUUAGAUCAGGUAACAACAGGUAAUAUUAACAGGUGAUUACUAACAUCAACGGCAUUGUAUUACCUGUUACCUUACCGUCCAAAACAACAGGUGAAGAUCAGAUAAUCACUAUAAUUACCUGUACAUUCAUGAUAAUUAGUAAUCUAUACCUGUUGAAGCAUAAGAUAAGAAUUUUCAAGUAGAUUAUUCAUCGUUUUUAUUCAUUUUGACAUUUUAUUGUUAGUCUUUGGUCAGAUGGGAAUGAAUAACAAAAGUAAUAGGUUUUUAGUGCCCCUGUAACGCGCUAUAUGUGAGUAACAAAGGUGGGGGUGUAUAGGUGUAUUGCUAAUGAGCUAACACAGUGUUACAUAGGUGGGUGAGGGCACAUUAUGUAACGCACACUCUGUAACGCACACACUAUUUGAUGCACACUCUUUGUAACGCACACGAAGUAAUGUCCACACUAUGUAACGCACACUCUGUGUAACGCAGAUUCUAUGUAACGUACACACUACUUAACGCACACUAUGUAACGCACACUCAAUGUAACGCACAAUCUAUGUAACGCACACUUUAUGUAACAUACAGUCUACGUAACGCACACUACAUAAUACACAGAAUAUAACACACACACAUAUUAAGCACACACUUACCUAACACACACACUAAACACACACUCGUCUUAACACACUCCACAUAACACAACCCAUAUAUAUAUAUAUAAACCCUAAAAAGCAGCUUAAAAAAAAUAACAGCUUGAAAAAACAAAACUAAAAUGGCCCCAAAAAAUCAUAAAAUUCUAAAAUUACGAAAAGUCACGUCAAUACUUCCAUGGUAAUUGUUAAUGUUAUUGUUAUUGUUAUUUUCACCAGCUGAUAAUGUCCUUCUGCAACCCAUGAGUUAUAUUUCAUAAUAACAACCUUA
rnacentral:lncRNA from 1 species